rnacentral:rRNA from 1 species
CCUGGUGGCGAGUGGCGAACGGGUGAGUAAUAUAUCGGAACGUACCCAAGAGUGGGGGAUAACGUAGCGAAAGUUACGCUAAUACCGCAUACGAUCUAAGGAUGAAAGCAGGGGAUCUUCGGACCUUGUGCUCCUGGAGCGGCCGAUAUCUGAUUAGCUAGUUGGUGAGGUAAAGGCUCACCAAGGCUACGAUCAGUAGCUGGUCUGAGAGGACGACCAGCCACACUGGAACUGAGACACGGUCCAGACUCCUACGGGAGGCAGCAGUGGGGAAUUUUGGACAAUGGGCGAAAGCCUGAUCCAGCAAUGCCGCGUGAGUGAAGAAGGCCUUCGGGUUGUAAAGCUCUUUUGUCAGGGAAGAAACGGUGGGAGCUAAUAUCUCCCACUAAUGACGGUACCUGAAGAAUAAGCACCGGCUAACUACGUGCCAGCAGCCGCGGUAAUACGUAGGGUGCAAGCGUUAAUCGGAAUUACUGGGCGUAAAGCGUGCGCAGGCGGUUUUGUAAGUCUGAUGUGAAAUCCCCGGGCUCAACCUGGGA